ACUAAAUAAAUAAAUAAAAAUAAACACCUUUUUUUCCAUUUGACAAAUGUUAUUGCUGAGUUUCUCAACUUCAUCUGUUGGAGUGAAAAGUUCAAGCAAACUCUUUUAUUUAUAUUAACAUUAGCAUUUUGUUUUAAUGAUGAUUAUGUAUCAGAUUUUUGCUUAAUUGCUGGAAAGCUCUCUCUAAUUUAUUUGUUCAUUUUAUUUCUUGGCUUUCCGCUUGGUUGUGUCUAAUUAAUUGUUUAUUGCAUUUCCCUUGUUAACUCUGAUCUUUGAUGUUGGCUUUCCACGUGUAAGCAUUUUGCGCCAAGGACGUGGAAAGUGCCAAAUCAAGACUGAGUCUCUGUGCAGAAGACAUCCGAGCUCAGAUGGACACAACAGGCAACAAUUCAGAGUUGUGUUCACAGCUUGGGGCAGUCCUGGGUAUGCUUGGUGACUGCUGUCGGACAAUGGGAGAUACUGGUU
rnacentral:misc_RNA from 1 species